rnacentral:tRNA from 1 species
AACUCGGUGGCGUAACGGUAGCGCGUCUGACUCCAGAUCAGAAGGUUGCGUGUUCAAAUCACGUCCGGGUCA